UACGGGGGGAGCAAGCGUUGUUCGGAUUUACUGGGCGUAAAGGGCGCGUAGGCGGCGCAACAAGUCACUUGUGAAAUCUCCGGGCUUAACCCGGAGCGGUCAAGUGAUACUGUCGUGCUAGAGUGCGGAAGGGGCUACUGGAAUUCUCGGUGUAGCGGUGAAAUGCGGUAGAUAUCGGGGAGGAACACCGGUGGCGAAGGCGGGUCUCUGGGCCGAUACUGACGCUGAGGAGCGAAAGCGUGGGGAGCGAACAGG
rnacentral:rRNA from 1 species